rnacentral:rRNA from 1 species
CACGUAGGGUGCGAGCGUUGUCCGGAAUUAUUGGGCGUAAAGAGCUCGUAGGCGGCUUGUCGCGUCGUCCGUGAAAACCUGGGGCUCAACUCCAGGCUUGCGGUCGAUACGGGCAGGCUCGAGUUCGGUAGGGGAGACUGGAAUUCCAGGUGUAGCGGUGAAAUGCGUAGAUAUCUGGAGGAACACCGGUGGCGAAGGCGGCAUCCUGGGCCGGUAUUGACGCUGAGGAGCGAAAGCGUGGGGAGCGAACAGG